rnacentral:rRNA from 1 species
GUGGGGAAUAUUGGACAAUGGGCGAAAGCCUGAUCCAGCCAUGCCGCGUGUGUGAAGAAGGUCUUCGGAUUGUAAAGCACUUUAAGUUGGGAGGAAGGGCAGUAAGUUAAUACCUUGCUGUUUUGACGUUACCGACAGAAUAAGCACCGGCUAACUUCGUGCCAGCAGCCGCGGUAAUACGAAGGGUGCAAGCGUUAAUCGGAAUUACUGGGCGUAAAGCGCGCGUAGGUGGUUUUGUAAGUUGGAGGUGAAAUCCCCGGGCUCAACCUGGGAACUGCCUCCAAAACUGCAUGACUAGAGUACGGUAGAGGGUAGUGGAAUUUCCUGUAUAGCGGUGAAAUGCGUAGAUAUAGGAAGGAACACCAGUGGCGAAGGCGACUACCUGGACUGAUACUGACACUGAGGUGCGAAAGCGUGGGGAGCAAACAGGAUUAGAAACCCCAGUAGUCC